UUUAUCUAAAAAAAUUAAUGAUUCAUUAAUUUAAUUAUAGAGUAUUUAUACACACACACACACACACACACACACAAACACACACACACACACACACACACGAUGGAAAAACACACACACACACAUGGUGGAAAAAUUUCAUUGGACGCUUGCAGUAUGUAAAAUUGUAUAAUUGUUUUUUGAAAAAGUUUAUUUCUCUAAGUAAAAAAAGUUUAACUUUUAGUGAAAGGUUAGAUUACCUAUUUUUUUACAGGGAACCUAACUUUGAACCUGAUUUUGAAAAUCACUUGUGUUUUAGAUAAUCGAACCAGGUAAUAAAACAAUUCACUCUAUGGACCCUAUGGGAGAACAGACAAAUUCCAUCAAAAAAGAAGAAGUGAAAUGGAAUUGUUACUUACAACAAAGAUAUGGUGUUUCAGAAAAGUUUGAAAUAUUAACAUUACCACAUGCCAUACGAGCUGAAGUUUGCUGAAAGUUAUACAAAUGGAGAAGUAUUGGUGCGUGUCUUUCCACAUGAAGAAGUUAAUGCAUACAGAAAGAGAGAUAAAGGAGGUCAGAAGAGUUAGCAGAAUAGUUUGUGUCGCAUUUGUGGAAGUGAAAUUGGUCCAAAAACUAGAAAAAAUCAAAAAAAAAUUAAAUGAGUAAAAUGUGAUAUAUGCAUUUAAAUCGAUGGUACCGUAUGAGAUGCAUUGUUUUUAGAAAUGAAACAUUAUUUUGUUGUGAACA